rnacentral:rRNA from 1 species
AUGAACGCUGGCGGCGUGCCUAAUACAUGCAAGUCGAGCGAACGGACGAGAAGCUUGCUUCUCUGAUGUUAGCGGCGGGCGGGUGAGUAACACGUGGAUAACCUACCUAUAAGACUGGGAUAACUUCGGGAAACCGGAGCUAAUACCGGAUAAUAUUUUGAACCGCAUGGUUCAAAAGUGAAAGACGGUCUUGCUGUCACUUAUAGAUGGAUCCGCGCUGCAUUAGCUAGUUGGUAAGGUAACGGCUUACCAAGGCAACGAUGCAUAGCCGACCUGAGAGGGUGAUCGUCCACACUUGAACUGCGACACGGUCCAGACUCCUACGGGAGGCUGUAGUAUGGAAUCUUCCGCAAUGGGCGAAAGCCUGACGGAGCAACGCCGCGUGAGUGAUGAAGGUCUUCUGAUCGUAAAACUCUGUUAUUAGUGAAGAACAUAUGUGUAAGUAACUGUGCACAUCUUGACGGUACCUAAUCAGAAAGCCACGGCUAACUACGUG